AAGAGUACGUGAAACCGUUCAGAGGUAAACGGAUGGGACCGCAACCUCCCCCGCGGAAUUCAACCUUGGGCUGGCUCGUCCGGCCGGCGUCCCGAUCGCAAGACGGGGCCCGGUCGGAGCGGGCGGUCCGGGGCGCAUUUUUCGCGGGGGGAAGUCACGACCGGUUCGUCGUCGGUCAGAAGCCCGGUGGGAAGGUGACCUCCUCCGGGAGGUGUUAUAGCCCGCCGGCGUGUUGGCCCGAUGGCGGACCGAGGGACGCCCGCCGCGACGCCCCGCCCCCGCUCCGCGUGCCCGUUCGACUGGGAGGGACUGUUCUCAGUGCCUCUCGACCGCGGGUGCGCGAGGGUCGGGGACCGCCUCCGCCGCCUUCAGGGUCUGUGGCUGUCCGGUCGGCUCCCUAUCCGACCCGUCUUGAAACACGGACCAAGGAGUCUAACAUGUGCGCGAGUCACGGGGUUCUACGAAACCUAAGGGCGCAAUGAAAGUGAAGGUCCACUUUUCGGUGGACCUAGGUCGGAUCCCUUCCCUCGGGAGGGGCGCAGGACUGGCCCGUCUCGGAGGCAUUGUUCUCGAGGCGGAGCAAGAGCGUACACGUUGGGACCCGAAAGAUGGUGAACUAUGCCUGAGUAGGACGAAGCCAGAGGAAACUCUGGUGGAGGUCCGUAGCGAUUCUGACGUGCAAAUCGAUCGUCAAACCUGGGUAUAGGGGCGAAAGACUAAUCGAACCAUCUAGUAGCUGGGUUCCCUCCGAAGUUC
rnacentral:rRNA from 1 species